GACGAACGCUGGCGGCGUGCUUAACACAUGCAAGUCGAACGGUAAGGCCCUUCGGGGUACACGAGUGGCGAACGGGUGAGUAACACGUGGGUGAUCUGCCCUGCACUUCGGGAUAAGCCUGGGAAACUGGGUCUAAUACCGGAUAGGACCACUGCCUGCAUGGGUGGUGGUGGAAAGCUUUUGCGGUGUGGGAUGGGCCCGCGGCCUAUCAGCUUGUUGGUGGGGUGAUGGCCUACCAAGGCGACGACGGGUAGCCGGCCUGAGAGGGUGACCGGCCAGACUGGGACUGAGAGACGGCCCAGGCUCCUACGGGAGGCAGCAGUGGGGAAUAGUGCACAAUGGGCGCAAGCCUGAUGCAGCGACGCCGCGUGAGGGAUGACGGCCUUCGGGUUGUAAACCUCUUUCAGCACCGACGAAGCGCAAGUGACGGUAGGUGCAGAAGAAGGACCGGCCAACUACGUGCCAGCCGCCGCGGUAA
rnacentral:rRNA from 1 species